AUACCGGUACUGAUUAUACCGGUUCUCGUUAGAUCACCGAAGUCAAGCAUCAUUGGGCGUGGUCAGUACUUGGGUGGGUGACCACCUGGGAACACCGCAUGCCGUU
rnacentral:rRNA from 1 species